ACUAUCCCAUCGAGGGGCGGGGCCUCGCGCGCGGACCUUUACCACGGCCGCCUCUGUUUAUGCGCUCACCAUUGGCCCCAGGGACUGCCAGUCGGCUCUGGGGUGGACGCCAACUUGAGGUCUCAUCCUCACUCUGCAUCUAUUGGCAAACAGAAAGUUUCUUCCUUAUGAUUGGACAGGGGGCUGUCAGUAAGACUGAGGAAAAAGCCAAUGGAACAGGUGGGGCGUGCCUUGCCCCACCCUAGCCCUGAGCAGCUUUCUGGAGCUUCAGAGUCCGGAGUAACAGGGCACCGACUGGCCCAUCCCGCGCUCCCCUGGAGACAGAAACCAACGAUAAAGAGGAGGGACUGUGCACCUGGGAGCCUCUUCAAGGCAAAGGUGAACAUUAAUCAGACAGUGUCCAGAACAGCCCGGCCACCUCCCUGGCUGAUGUCAUUUCUCUCUCGUGUUCCAUAGGCCUCUGGGCCAUAUAAGGAGAGUUUCUGUU